rnacentral:rRNA from 1 species
UACGUAGGGGGCGAGCGUUGUCCGGAAUCAUUGGGCGUAAAGCGCGUGUAGGCGGUCCGGUAAGUCCGCUGUGAAAGUCCGGGGCUCAACCCCGGGAGGCGGAUGGAUACUGCAAGGCUCGAGUCCGGAAGAGGCAAGUGGAAUUCCCGGUGUAGCGGUGAAAUGCGCAGAUAUCGGGAGGAACACCAAUGGCGAAGGCAGCUUGCUGGGACGGUACUGACGCUGAGACGCGAAAGCGUGGGGAGCAAACAGG